rnacentral:rRNA from 1 species
UACGUAGGGGGCGAGCGUUGUCCGGAUUUAUUGGGCGUAAAGGGCGCGUAGGCGGUCGUGACAAGUCACUUGUGAAAUCUCCGGGCUUAACUCGGAAAGGUCAACUGAUACUGUGCGGCUAGAGUGCGGAAGGGGCAACUGGAAUUCUUGGUGUAGCGGUGAAAUGCGUAGAUAUCAAGAGGAACACCUGCGGCGAAGGCGGGUUGCUGGGCCGACACUGACGCUGAGGCGCGAAAGCCAGGGGAGCGAACGGG